CGCCUGUUUUANCAAAAACAUCUCCUUUUGAGAAUAAUUUAAGGUUUAAUCUGCUCAAUGAUUUUUAAAUUGCCGCAGUAUUUUGACUGUGCAAAGGUAGCAUAAUAAUUAGUUUCUUGAUUAGAAGCUUGAAUGAAUGAUUGGACGAGAAAAUUUCUGUCUCUUUUUAAUUUGUUUUUGAAUUUUAUUUUUAAGUUAAAAAGCUUAAAUUGUAAUAAAAGACGAGAAGACCCUAUAGAGUUUUAUAUUUAAAGUUUAUUAAUUGUUAGAAAUUAUUUUAAAUUUUAUUUAUUUAGUUGGGGUGACUGGGAGAUUUAAUUAAUUCUUUCUAUAAUAAUUGAUGAUUAUUAAAUUUAUUAUCUAGAUUUUUUAAAUAAAAAAUUAAUUACCUUAGGGAUAACAGCGUAAUUUUUCUUUAAAGUUCAAAUUGAAAGAAGAUUUUGCGACCUCGANUGUUGGAUUAAAAUAAAUUUUUGGUGCAGUAG
rnacentral:rRNA from 1 species